GGGUGUGGCUCAGCGAUAUAGAGCACCUGCUUGGCAUGCAGAAGGUCCCAGGUUCCAUCCUGGUUAGCAUCUCCA